rnacentral:tRNA from 1 species
AAACUUAGGUUCAACUUAAACCAAGAGCCUUCAAAGCUCAAGAUAUGGCCUAACCCACCAUAG